rnacentral:rRNA from 1 species
AGCGAACGCUGGCGGCAGGCUUAACACAUGCAAGUCGAGCGGGCAUCCUUGUGGUGUCCGCGGCAGACGGGUGAGUAACGCGUGGGAACGUGCCCUUCGGUUCGGAAUAACUCAGGGAAACUUGAGCUAAUACCGGAUACGUGCGAGAGCAGAAAGGUUUAUCUGCCGAAGGAUCGGCCCGCGUCUGAUUAGCUAGUUGGUGAGGUUAUGGCUCACCAAGGCGACGAUCAGUAGCUGGUCUGAGAGGAUGAUCAGCCACACUGGGACUGAGACACGGCCCAGGCUUCUACAGGAGGCAGCAGUUGGGGAUAUUGGACAAUGGGGGCAACCCUGAUCCAGCCAUGCCGCGUGAGUGAUGACGGCCUUAGGGUUGUAAAGCUCUUUUCUCCAGGACGAUAAUGACGGUACCGUACGAAUAGGCCCCGGCUAACUUCGUG